rnacentral:tRNA from 1 species
GGUUGUGGCUCAGUGGCAGAGCGCUUGCCUAGCAUGUGUGAUGCACUGGGUUUGAUUCUCAGGACCA